CAGCAAUGUCCAGGACCUUGUUUCCAGAACCCUCAACUGCACCAGAAGUACAGAAUAUCUCUCCAGAGGUUGAGAGGACCACCGGAAAUUUGGGGGAAGAGCAGACACUUCUAGAUUGGCGAUCUCUGCGGUCCCAGCAAGACAAAGACUAUGAAGAGUCUUUGUUAGCAGACCAAGAAAAAGAAAGGAGAAGACAGUGUUACAAGGCCUUGGAGGAAAGACGCAUAAAGGU